rnacentral:rRNA from 1 species
AAAUGAAUAGACGGGGGCCCGCACAAGCGGUGGAGUAUGUGGUUUAAUUCGACGCAACGCGAAGAACCUUACCGGGUUUUGACAUUGAUCGCAAUCUGUUGAAAGACAGAGUUCUCCUUUAUGGAGACGAGAAAACAGGUGGUGCACGGCUGUCGUCAGCUCGUGUCGUGAGAUGUUGGGUUAAGUCCCGCAACGAGCGCAACCCCUAUGGUUAGUUGCCAGCAUGUAAUGAUGGGCACUCUAACAAGACUGCCGAUGACAAAUCGGAGGAAGGUGGGGAUGACGUCAAGUCAUCAUGCCCCUUAUGACCCGGGCUACACACGUACUACAAUGGUCCUGACAGAGAGCAGCGAAGAGGCGACUCGGAGCGAAUCUCAGAAACGGGAUCUCAGUUCGGAUCGUAGGCUGCAACUCGCCUACGUGAAGCAGGAAUCGCUAGUAAUCGCAGGUCAGCAUACUGCGGUGAAUACGUUCCCGGGCCUUGUACACACCGCCCGU